GUAAGUCUCAAGUUCCUCAUCUGCAAAAAUGUGAUAAUUAUUUUCUACUGUACAGAUUUAUGAUGCGAAUGAAGAGAAAUCAUGUAAGGCCUCUAAGAUAAUAAUUUUUUUCUUUUGAGAUAAAGUAAUGGCACUUAGCUGUCUAACUUAGAAGAGUGUUUGAAUAAUACAUCUCUAUAAAGCACUUGUCAAGAGAAGACUAUCCCUGGGCCCAGAGCCUACACAUAGUAGAUGCCUGACACAUAGCAGAUGGUCAAUAAAUAUUAUGUGAGUGAAUACAUUCUAAAAUUCCAACCUCAUUGUCUAAAUAGAAAUAUCCUAAAUCAAAAGGAAUCCAUGUGGCCUCUCUGGUUUGAUGAUUAUAUCAUUAGAAUACUCAUAUAUUCCAAUUCUGUGCUCACCAUGCAACCUUUUGAUUUAAGACUUAAGCUUAAGUUUGAGAAAAACUACCCCUGACAGGGACCUGCCCCUACUCUAGACAGUUACAUAUCUACAAUUGGAAAUGAAUUGAAUUCUGAUUUAUCCUCCAGAUUUGAGCUGGGGUAGUGUAAAGCAGUGCCCGUAAUCGUUCUGAAUUGAGAACAUUUCUGGAGAAGUAGAAUAGAAACUGGAUGGGUGAAAAGGACAGUGGACUUCUAGUGCAAGCUAGACACUCUUGUUCUGCCAUUAACUUGCAGUGUGAUUUUAGCCAAGUUACUCCUCUCCCAAAAGUCUGAUUACUUAUAAAAUUAGGAGUUCUAAUAUUCUUUCCACCUCAGUAUCAUACUGUUCACCAAUUAACAACUAAAGUAGGCACUAACAACUUGGUAAUACUCUGCUUUAAGUCACAACCAGAGCAGAGACAUUACUUUGCCAACAAAGGUCUGUCUAGUCAAAGCUAUAGUUUUUCCAGUAGUCAAGUAUGGAUGUGAGAGUUGGACUAUAAAGAAAGCUGAGUGCAGAAGAAUUGAUGUUUUUGAACUGUGGUGUUGGAGAAGACUCUUGAGAGUCCCUUGAACUGCGGGAGAUCCAACCAGUCCAUCCUAAAGGAGAUCAGUUCUGGGUGUUCAUUGAAAGGACUGAUGGUAAAGCUGAAACUUCAAUACUUUGGCUACCUGAUGUGAAGAACUGACUCAUUGGAAAAGACCCUGAUGCUGGGUAAGACUAAAGGCAAGAGGAGAAGGGGACAACGGAGGAUAAGAUGAGAUGGUUGGAUGGCAUCACCAACUCAAUGGACAUGAGUUUGAGCAAGCUUGGGGAGUUGGUGAUGGACAGGGAAGCCUGGCGUGCUGCAGUCCACGGGAUCGAAAAGAGUCUGACACGGCUGAGCAACUGAACUGAACUGAGUCAUCAUCUUGCUGACUCAAAUGCCAAUAAACUGAUUAGGACCAGAAACCCUAACAUUUAUCUUGGAAGACAUUCCCCCAUGGGUCUCUCGCAUUCCUCCAUGUCUUGUUGAAUAUGCUAAGGAUGGGAUGCAAAGUCUGGAUGACUGGUAAACCAUUUCUCAGAGUUUGCAACAAGCAGUCUUGAGGGAUGGGGUAACCUCUCCAUCUGGAACAAAGAACAGGCUUUCUUCUGCUUACUAUAAAAGAAAUAGAUUCCCCAACUAAGUUUUCCUCUUCUCUAACGCAACCCACUGUGGGGGAAGGCAUCUAUUUGGACCCUUCACAUCAUCCCUGUGGGAUUUGAGGACAAGGGAAUUGAAGCAUUUAUAAACUUGUUCCUCUGCUUACCGCCUCCCGCCCCGAGACAACACGUAAAGAGACAAGGUAGGAUGUUUGUCUUUAUUAAUGGGAGAUUUGACUAAAUAAGAGCCUUUAUUUUGUUACCUGCUGCCAAAUAAAAGUGAAGAUCUCAUCAAGGACAUUUUCUGUUUCCUGUUGUUAAACACCAGUCGACGCGCACCAGAAUCAGACCUACUUUAUAGCAAGGUACAAGCCACCUAAAUUAUUUUGUCAUCCAGUGUAGGAAGGUGUGAGUCCAAAAACCUAAAAGUUUACUGUUACCUUACUGCCAAG
ensembl:lncRNA